CUUAAUCCUUAAAUUUUUAUUUUUCUACUAAUUUUUAUAAUUUAAUUUUAAAAGUUGAAUGAUGGCACCUCAAUAUUUUAUAUUUUUGUGGCAAACACAAGGUAAUUAUUUAAAAUGUAGAAAAUUUUAUUAUUCCAAAAAAUGAGAUAUUUAAAAAUACCCUUCUUAACAACCAUAAUCUUGCUAGAAAUCCCAAAUCUAAGAAAUCCUAAAUCUUAUCAAUUCUAAAUUCUACACCCUAUUAAAUUUAAAUAAAUCAUAUAUU
rnacentral:lncRNA from 1 species